rnacentral:misc_RNA from 1 species
CAGAGCUCAUGCCCUUACGGGUAGAUCUCCCACCCUAUGUUAUUAUUACUUUGUUGCUUUGGCGGGCCGUUAGGCUUCGGCUCGACUACUGGCUCCAGCUGGUAAGUGCCCGCCAGAGGACCCCAAACUCUGAAUAUUAGUGUCGUCUGAGUACUAUAUAAUAGUUA